GUGGGGAAUAUUGGUCAAUGGACGAAAGUCUGAACCAGCCAAGUAGCGUGCAGGAUGACGGCCCUAUGGGUUGUAAACUGCUUUUAUACAGGGAUAAAGUGAGCCACGUGUGGUUUUUUGUAGGUACUGUAUGAAUAAGGACCGGCUAAUUCCGUGCCAGCAGCCGCGGUAAUACGGAAGGUCCGGGCGUUAUCCGGAUUUAUUGGGUUUAAAGGGAGCGCAGGCUGAUGAUUAAGCGUGACGUGAAAUGUAGCCGCUCAACGGCUGAACUGCGUCGCGAACUGGUUAUCUUGAGUGAGUUCGAUGUUGGCGGAAUUCGUGGUGUAGCGGUGAAAUGCUUAGAUAUCACGAAGAACUCCGAUUGCGAAGGCAGCCAACAAGGCCUUUACUGACGCUAAAGCUCGAAGGUGCGGGUAUCGAACAGG
rnacentral:rRNA from 1 species